UACGUAGGGUGCAAGCGUUAUCCGGAAUUAUUGGGCGUAAAGCGUUCGCAGGCGGUUCUGUAAGUUUGUGGUUAAAUCUGACUGCUCAACGGUCAACAUGCCAUAAAUACUGCUGAACUAGAGGAUGACAGAGGCAACUGGAAUUCUGCGUGUAGGGGUAAAAUCCGUUGAUACGCAGAGGAACACCAAAAGCGAAGGCAGGUUGCUGGGUCAUUUCUGACGCUGUUGAACGAAAGCGUGGGGAGCAAACAGG
rnacentral:rRNA from 1 species